AUGGCUCAGGAUGAACGCUAGCUACAGGCUUAACACAUGCAAGUCAGGGGCAGCAUGGGAUAGCUGCUAUUCAGAUGGCGACCGGCGCACGGGUGAGUAACGCGUAUCCAACCUUCCUGCCAGUAGGGAACAGCCCGGCGAAAGUCGGAUUAAUGCCCUAUGUUCUUCAAUGCGGACAUCUAAGUUGAAGGAAAGAUUCAUCGCUGGCAGAUGGGGAUGCGUCCGAUUAGCUUGCCGGCGGGUAACGGCCCACCGGGGCGACGAUCGGUAGGGGUUCUGAGAGGAAGGUCCCCCACACUGGUACUGAGACACGGACCAGACUCCUACGGGAGGCAGCAGUGAGGAAUAUUGGUCAAUGGGCGUAAGCCUGAACCAGCCAAGUAGCGUGCCAGGAUGACGGCCCUACGGGUUGUAAACUGCUUUUAUGCGGGGAUAAAGUGCGGCACGUGUGCCGGCUUUAGCAGGUACCGCAUGAAUAAGGACCGGCUAAUUCCGUGCCAGCCGCGGC
rnacentral:rRNA from 1 species